GUUUCAGUGGCUUAGUGAUUAGAGCGUCCGCCUCUGAUGCAGGAGGUCGUGGAUUUGAUCUCCGUCCGAGUCA